rnacentral:pre_miRNA from 1 species
CUUGUCCAGCAGCACCUAAUCCAUCGGCGGUCGGGCUGAUGGUUUUCGGGCUGUUGAGCGAG